rnacentral:rRNA from 1 species
ACAAAGACUGACGCUCAGGUGAGAAAGCGUGGGGAGCAAACAGGAUUAGAUACCGUGGUAGUCCACGCCGUAAACGAUGUCGACUUGGAGGUUGUUCCCUUGAGGAGUGGCUUCCGGAGCUAACGCGUUAAGUCGACCGCCUGGGGAGUACGGCCGCAAGGUUAAAACUCAAAUGAAUUGACGGGGGCCCGCACAAGCGGUGGAGCAUGUGGUUUAAUUCGAUGCAACGCGAAGAACCUUACCUACUCUUGACAUCCAGGGAAUUUAGCAGAGAUGCUUUGGUGCCUUCGGGAACGGUGAGACAGGUGCUGCAUGGCUGUCGUCAGCUCGUGUUGUGAAAUGUUGGGUUAAGUCCCGCAACGAGCGCAACCCUUAUCCUUUGUUGCCAGCGAUUCGGUCGGGAACUCAAAGGAGACUGCCGGUGAUAAACCGGAGGAAGGUGGGGAUGACGUCAAGUCAUCAUGGCCCUUACGAGUAGGGCUACACACGUGCUACAAUGGCGCAUACAAAGAGAAGCGACCUCGCGAGAGCAAGCGGACCUCACAAAGUGCGUCGUAGUCCGGAUCGGAGUCUGCAACUCGACUCCGUGAAGUCGGAAUCGCUAGUAAUCGUGGAUCAGAAUGCCACGGUGAAUACGUUCCCGGGCCUUGUACACACCGCCCGUCACACCAUGGGAGUGGGUUGCAAAAGAA